UCCGUAGGCGGUGUGGCAAGUCGGUAGUGAAAUCUCUCGGCUUAACUGAGAGGCUGCUGCCGAAACUGCCAUGCUCGAGUGCGAGAGAGGCGAGUGGAAUUGCGGGUGUAGCGGUGAAAUGCGUAGAUAUCCGCAGGAACAUCCGAGGCGAAAGCGGCUCGCUGGAUCGCAACUGACGCUGAGGGACGAAAGCUAGGGGAGCAAACAGGAUUAGAUACCCUGGUAGUCCUAGCCCUAAACCAUCAGGACUUGGGGUUUGCCCUGUACGGGGCAAGUCCCGGAGCUAACGCGUUAAGUCCUGCGCCUGGGGAGUACGGUCGCAAGGCUGA
rnacentral:rRNA from 1 species